rnacentral:lncRNA from 1 species
UGCUCAAAUCCCAGUCUGCACUCAUACGCCUCACCAGGAGAGUUAAUGACAACUUCUUCAGACAGGCAAAGUUUAAAUCAGUGCGGAUUGUGGGCUCAUAUACACUGGCUGUGAAGGAGUCCAACCUGAUAACGCUGGGCAAUGCUGCCAUCUGGAGGGAGACAGUAUUGGAGAUUCUGAAGGGCCGCUCCAUCCCCAUCUCUCUGUGGAUUCUGAUUGGCAGCAUUAUUGGAGGCCUGCUGCUCCUUGCCCUCAUCAUCUUCAUCCUGUGGAAGGUUAGCAGGCAUAUACACACAGACACACACAGACAGAC